rnacentral:rRNA from 1 species
GUGGGCACUGGGACCACAGAGGCAAACAGGCAGGCAAGAUCUUACCUGAUCUUGGAAGUUAAGUAGAGUUGGGCCUGGCUAGUACUCGGAUGAGAGAAUGCCUGAGAAUACUGGGUGCUGCAGGCU